rnacentral:tRNA from 1 species
GCCUCCGUAGUUCAAUGGAUAGAACGAGGGUUUCCUAAACUCUAGAUCCGUGUUCGAUUCACGGCGGGGGUA